GUUCUGUGUCUGCUGGUGCUCCUUUGUACAUUUGAGAUGUAAUCAGAAAUGCUCCUUGGACUCAGUCCUCCCUGUCCCCUCGGCCGCGGCCGCCCUUCCUGUCCAUGGGCCUUUGAGUCACCUCUCGCUUGCGUGAAGGGAUUAAUUUGAGUUUUCUUUCCAGAGAAGGAUGUGCGUAGAGCAGCAUGCACACUGCCACAUCCCUGAGCCUGUUUUCUUCUGCUGCCUGGAGACCUACACCAUGGCGGCCCCCAGGACAGCGUGGCAGCCCAAAGGGACCCCGCUGGGGGCAAGGCCGGUAGGCAGGAGAGACUCUGGCAUGGCUAGAGUGAUUUCGCACCCUCUGAGCACCCUGUGUGCUUGCAUGGGUCCCACCAGCACGGGACCAGCUUUGCUUGGACCCCAACCCAGCCCUGUGUCAAACGAUUUAAAUGCACUCUCCGUUGAGAAAGUUGCAGCCAUGGUGGUCUCUGUUUUGCCUUCUGUGUCAUUUUCUCUCCUGAUCUUUGCCUCACUCCGCCUGAUGCUUCCGGGCAGCCGCUCACAGGUGUGUGUGGCCCCAGUGUCCGGCCUUACCAAGCCGGUGCUCUCCACACCAGAGCUCCCUACGUCGCCCCUGGGUCUCCCACACUCUCCUCCGCCUCUGUUCUUCCUCAGUAGACUCCUCCACCCGCCGACUUCUGCUGCCUCCAUGCCAUUGCAUCUACCUCACGACUUUUCUCUGAAGUUCUGUACAGCCUGGGAUUUCCCUGGCCAAGAAAGUGGGCUUCCAGAGCCGGCUCCUCUUCACUCUGCAGUGGUUAAAUCCCUGCCUGUCCUGCUCAGAUGGUGUCUGCCAUUGGGUUUUGCAGCUGCCCGGGGUGGGGCUGGGAGCCGGGGUGGAGGGAGUGACUGGGAAAAUCCGCGGGGGAACUUGGUGGUGUUUUCCCUGUGGAAUGAAGCCCCCACUCAGACCAAGCUCUGUACCCGCCCCUUUCUCCACCCACCGCCUCGGGCACAGGCCCUUCUGAACCUUGGCCUGGCUUCAAGGCUGUGUGCCCACAGAUCCAGCCCCGCCCCCAGACACUGUCUCUGAGUAGCUCAAGAGAUUCCUGGCCGCCCUAGGAGAGGCCACCUGGUCUGUGCUGCCCCUGGCCCCCGUCACCCAGCUGCUACCCGUGUCCUGUGGCUGAGGGGUCCCGGCCUGGCCCUUUCCCUCGGUGGCCACAAUUACCUAGCUCUGAAGCAGUGUCACAAACGAGCACCCGCCCUCAGGGCACUGCAUGUGAGCACCCCGGGGUGGGUGGGGCUCGCUCCUGCACCCGGGGGUGCGUCUGUCUGGUACAGUGGGUCCUGGCCCUCGUCGUGCUCUCCACUGCCCAGGGGCCCCUCAGAAUUGGCCCCCUGUUCCCCCUUCCCUCUGGCCUUCCUCUCUCUCUGCUCCCAUUUGUUUUUUGAGACAGGGUCUCGUUAUGUAUUUCAGGCUGGCCUUGAACUCUCUAUGGAAGCCAGGCUGGCCUCAAGCUCUCAGAGAUCCUCCUGCCUCAGCCU
rnacentral:lncRNA from 1 species